CUACGGGGGGCAGCAGUGAGGAAUAUUGCACAAUGGAGGAAACUCUGAUGCAGCAACGCCGCGUGGAGGAUGACGCAUUUCGGUGUGUAAACUCCUUCUAUAUGUCAAGAAAAUGACGGUAGCAUAUGAAUAAGCUCCGGCUAACUCCGUGCCAGCAGCCGCGGUAAUACGGAGGGAGCAAGCGUUACUCGGAAUCACUGGGCGUAAAGGACGCGUAGGCGGGAUAGAAAGUCAGGUGUGAAAUCCUAUGGCUCAACCAUAGAACUGCACUUGAAACUUCUAACCUAGAGUAUGGGAGGGGAAGAUGGAAUUAGUGGUGUAGGGGUAAAAUCCGUAGAUAUCACUAGGAAUACCAAAAGCGAAGGCGAUCUUCUGGAACAAUACUGACGCUAAGGCGUGAAAGCGUGGGGAGCAAACAGGAUUAGAUGCCCUCGUAGUC
rnacentral:rRNA from 1 species